UGCAAUUGAAAUAAUACGAUUAAUUUGAUGAGGUGCUUCGUUAUUUUAUUUGCAGACUAAAACCAUAAAGUUGCCAAUUCCAACUACAUUUCAGUACACAAACGUCUACCCUCUUAUUAUAAAACGCGGUAUCAAAUAAGUAUCGGCUUUUGUACUACCUUUAAUCCACCUUUAAGUACGACCUUGAAAAAACGUUAUUACAAAACGCAGUUUAUCGCAAGUCCUAUUACUAUCUGUAGUACAAAAGAUAAACCAUCGAGCCCCCUAGUUUAACUGCAGUACUUAGUCGACAAACGUCAAAUUCCGACAUUUUUUACUUUUGAGGUUAUUUGUUUUGUGAUGAAAAAAACGAAAGUGGAUAUAAAUAUGUGUGAUUUGGAAUACUUGGAUGUGUUAGAAUACUAUUGAGAGUGUCCGGGGACCCAACAGAAUGCGUCAUCGACAAAAUCUCUUCAAAUUACCUGACGACAAUUUUCGAUAUAAAUAUCGAUUUACGUUUUUCGAAAUAAUAGUCAAUUGAAUGCAUGAUGAUAAUCCAGGAUGAUUCUAUGAUGCUCAACUGGGCUCGCCAUAAAAUUCAAGACUAUUUUGGCGUUUUGCACGUCGUAUCUCUGCCAGAAAUAUGCAAUGUUUGUAAAAGACUGGAAGCUUGCUAAAAUGUACAAAAAUGCCAAGAUGAGAAAAGGAACAAGAUUGUGUGAUGAAGAACAGUGUCCAACAUGUAUCAGUGCAUUUGACUGUAUAAAUAGACAUCGGAAUAAAAUAUAAUUUUCUACUU
rnacentral:lncRNA from 1 species